rnacentral:rRNA from 1 species
UACAGAGGGUGCAAGCGUUAAUCGGAAUUACUGGGCGUAAAGCGUGCGCAGGCGGUUCGUUAAGUCAGCUGUGAAAGCCCCGGGCUUAACCUGGGAAUUGCGGUUGAAACUACAGGGCUAGAAUCUGGCAGAGGGGGGUGGAAUUCCACGUGUAGCAGUGAAAUGCGUAGAGAUGUGGAGGAACACCGAUGGCGAAGGCAGCCCCCUGGGCUGAGAUUGACGCUCAGGCACGAAAGCGUGGGGAGCAAACAGG